UUCUCGCCCGACAAAUUGCAACAGGUGGCACUUCCUCUGCUGACCAAUCAGGAGUGCAAGAGAUUUUUUGGCAACCGUAUUGUUGACGUCAUGGUCUGUGCUGGAGCUGCAGGGGCAUCUUCGUGCAUGGGCGAUUCUGGUGGUCCUCUGGUCUGCCAGAAGAAUGGGGCCUGGACUCUGGUUGGAAUCGUCUCCUGGGGCAGCGCCACCUGCUCUCCCUCCAGCCCAGGGGUCUAUGCCCGCGUUACGGAACUUCUGCCCUUCAUUGAAUCCACCCUUGCUAAUAACUAACACUCCUCAGUAAUGGAACAUCAAUAAAAGCAGCAGCAGCAGA